rnacentral:rRNA from 1 species
AACGAACGCUGGCGGCAUGCCUAACACAUGCAAGUCGAACGAGACCUUCGGGUCUAGUGGCGCACGGGUGCGUAACGCGUGGGAACCUGCCCUUAGGUUCGGAAUAACUCCCCGAAAGGGGUGCUAAUACCGGAUAAUGUCUUCGGACCAAAGAUUUAUCGCCUUUGGAUGGGCCCGCGUUGGAUUAGCUAGUUGGUAGGGUAAAAGCCUACCAAGGCGACGAUCCAUAGCUGGUCUGAGAGGAUGAUCAGCCACACUGGGACUGAGACACGGCCCAGACUCCUUCCGGAGGGCGGCAUGGGGGAUAAUGGAACAUGGGCGAAAGCCUGAUCCAGCAAUGCCGCGUGAGUGAUGAAGGCCUUAGGGUUGUAAAGCUCUUUUACCCGGGAUGAUAAUGACAGUACCGGGAGAAUAAGCUCCGGCUAACUCCGUG